ensembl:rRNA 5S_rRNA 5S ribosomal RNA
GUCCACAGCUAUGCCACCCUGAACACACUUGAUCUCCUCUGAUCUUGGAAGCUAAGCAGGUUGGGUCUGGUUAGUUUUUGGAUGGGAGAGUACCUGGGAAUACCAGGUGCUGUAGGUU